rnacentral:rRNA from 1 species
UACGUAGGUGACCAGCGUUGUCCGGAUUUACUGGGCGUAAAGAGCGCUCAGGCGGUCGUUCAAGUCGAGUGUGAAAGCCCCCGGCUCAACUGGGGAGGGUCAUUCGAUACUGAUCGACUUGAAGGCAGGAGAGGGAAGCGGAAUUCCCGGUGUAGUGGUGAAAUGCGUAGAUAUCGGGAGGAACACCAGUGGCGAAGGCGGCUUCCUGGCCUGUUCUUGACGCUGAGGCGCGAAAGCUAGGGGAGCAAACGGG